rnacentral:rRNA from 1 species
AUGCGGGUUCUCUUCUGGAAUAUUCGGGGUUGUGGGCACGUAGGGCGUCGCACGCAGCUCAGGGAAUACAUGGCCAAGGAGCGUAUCGAUAUUGUUGCGUUACAGGAAACCAUCAAGGCCGACUUUUCU